ACGCUCGACACCUACGGGGGGCAGCAGUGAGGAAUAUUGGUCAAUGGGCGCUAGCCUGAACCAGCCAAGUAGCGUGAAGGAUGAAGGCUCUAUGGGUCGUAAACUUCUUUUAUAUAAGAAUAAAGUGCAGUAUGUAUACUGUUUUGUAUGUAUUAUAUGAAUAAGGAUCGGCUAACUCCGUGCCAGCAGUCGCGGUAAUCUGAGCGGGCUGGCAAGGC
rnacentral:rRNA from 1 species